AAGACUAGUAUUUGGUGGAGUGUUGGAACAAGCACCCAGCUGGCUCCAUUAAUGGUCCCUCUGGAAUCAACUAUUUGCAGGAAUGUACUGCAACUUUUUCCAUCAGGGAGAACAUGCAAAUACAGAAACAAGUUUGCAAACCAGGACACGCCUGCAGAGCUCAGUGACAGUCUGCUUCAAAAUCAUUUGGACUUGGAAACAGCUAUUGUGUCUGUCCUCAGCUGAACCACAUUUCUUAGUAUUGAAACGUGUGACUGCUUGUUUUUACCAUGUAAGGAGUUGUUUUUUGUAUGCAGGUGCAGCGGACGCCAUUAUCAGGAAACUGUGUAACCUUACCAACACAUCCGGUCUGUGUCUCAUGGCAAACAGAAGUAACCGCAUCCUGUAAACAGUGAAACUUACUCCUACGUAGUGAGUGGGUAGAGGAAGGGAUCAGAUCAUUGCAGCUUUUUCUUGGUAAAGGAGCUGGACAGAGUUAAAAGGUGCCUUUCUGCCCGUGCGCAGCAGCAGGUUACUGGCUGGAUGUUUGGAAGCGAUGACGACCCAAAGAGGAAUCAGGCACAGAAAUAACAGAUCCACCAGUUUCAGGGUCACAAGUACCAUCUGUUGGCCAAAAGGGGAAAUUACACCAGACCAUCUCAGAGCCUUCAUCUCUCUCUUACCCAGCAAGGAGUAGAACCACUGACUUAAGCACGCCAGCAAGGCAAGAGUGAUGAGAUCCCCG